rnacentral:rRNA from 1 species
AGCGUACACGGUGGAUGCCCUGGCAGUCAGAGGCGAUGAAGGACGUGCUAAUCUGCGAUAAGCGUCGGUAAGGUGAUAUGAACCGUUAUAACCGGCGAUUUCCGAAUGGGGAAACCCAGUGUGUUUCGACACACUAUCAUUAACUGAAUCCAUAGGUUAAUGAGGCGAACCGGGGGAACUGAAACAUCUAAGUACCCCGAGGAAAAGAAAUCAACCGAGAUUCCCCCAGUAGCGGCGAGCGAACGGGGAAGAGCCCAGAGCCUGAAUCAGUGUGUGUGUUAGUGGAAGCGUCUGGAAAGGCGCGCGAUACAGGGUGACAGCCCCGUACACAAAAAUGCACAUGCUGUGAGCUCGAUGAGUAGGGCGGGACACGUGGUAUCCUGUCUGAAUAUGGGGGGACCAUCCUCCAAGGCUAAAUACUCCUGACUGACCGAUAGUGAACCAGUACCGUGAGGGAAAGGCGAAAAGAACCCCGGCGAGGGGAGUGAAAAAGAACCUGAAACCGUGUACGUACAAGCAGUGGGAGCACGCUUAGGCGUGUGACUGCGUACCUUUUGUAUAAUGGGUCAGCGACUUAUAUUCUGUAGCAAGGUUAACCGAAUAGGGGAGCCGAAGGGAAACCGAGUCUUAACUGGGCGUUAAGUUGCAGGGUAUAGACCCGAAACCCGGUGAUCUAGCCAUGGGCAGGUUGAAGGUUGGGUAACACUAACUGGAGGACCGAACCGACUAAUGUUGAAAAAUUAGCGGAUGACUUGUGGCUGGGGGUGAAAGGCCAAUCAAACCGGGAGAUAGCUGGUUCUCCCCGAAAGCUAUUUAGGUAGCGCCUCGUGAAUUCAUCUCCGGGGGUAGAGCACUGUUUCGGCAAGGGGGUCAUCCCGACUUACCAACCCGAUGCAAACUGCGAAUACCGGAGAAUGUUAUCACGGGAGACACACGGCGGGUGCUAACGUCCGUCGUGAAGAGGGAAACAACCCAGACCGCCAGCUAAGGUCCCAAAGUCAUGGUUAAGUGGGAAACGAUGUGGGAAGGCCCAGACAGCCAGGAUGUUGGCUUAGAAGCAGCCAUCAUUUAAAGAAAGCGUAAUAGCUCACUGGUCGAGUCGGCCUGCGCGGAAGAUGUAACGGGGCUAAACCAUGCACCGAAGCUGCGGCAGCGACACUAUGUGUUGUUGGGUAGGGGAGCGUUCUGUAAGCCUGUGAAGGUGUACUGUGAGGUAUGCUGGAGGUAUCAGAAGUGCGAAUGCUGACAUAAGUAACGAUAAAGCGGGUGAAAAGCCCGCUCGCCGGAAGACCAAGGGUUCCUGUCCAACGUUAAUCGGGGCAGGGUGAGUCGACCCCUAAGGCGAGGCCGAAAGGCGUAGUCGAUGGGAAACAGGUUAAUAUUCCUGUACUUGGUGUUACUGCGAAGGGGGGACGGAGAAGGCUAUGUUGGCCGGGCGACGGUUGUCCCGGUUUAAGCGUGUAGGCUGGUUUUCCAGGCAAAUCCGGAAAAUCAAGGCUGAGGCGUGAUGACGAGGCACUACGGUGCUGAAGCAACAAAUGCCCUGCUUCCAGGAAAAGCCUCUAAGCAUCAGGUAACAUCAAAUCGUACCCCAAACCGACACAGGUGGUCAGGUAGAGAAUACCAAGGCGCUUGAGAGAACUCGGGUGAAGGAACUAGGCAAAAUGGUGCCGUAACUUCGGGAGAAGGCACGCUGAUAUGUAGGUGAAGCGACUUGCUCGUGGAGCUGAAAUCAGUCGAAGAUACCAGCUGGCUGCAACUGUUUAUUAAAAACACAGCACUGUGCAAACACGAAAGUGGACGUAUACGGUGUGACGCCUGCCCGGUGCCGGAAGGUUAAUUGAUGGGGUUAGCGCAAGCGAAGCUCUUGAUCGAAGCCCCGGUAAACGGCGGCCGUAACUAUAACGGUCCUAAGGUAGCGAAAUUCCUUGUCGGGUAAGUUCCGACCUGCACGAAUGGCGUAAUGAUGGCCAGGCUGUCUCCACCCGAGACUCAGUGAAAUUGAACUCGCUGUGAAGAUGCAGUGUACCCGCGGCAAGACGGAAAGACCCCGUGAACCUUUACUAUAGCUUGACACUGAACAUUGAGCCUUGAUGUGUAGGAUAGGUGGGAGGCUUUGAAGUGUGGACGCCAGUCUGCAUGGAGCCGACCUUGAAAUACCACCCUUUAAUGUUUGAUGUUCUAACGUUGACCCGUAAUCCGGGUUGCGGACAGUGUCUGGUGGGUAGUUUGACUGGGGCGGUCUCCUCCUAAAGAGUAACGGAGGAGCACGAAGGUUGGCUAAUCCUGGUCGGACAUCAGGAGGUUAGUGCAAUGGCAUAAGCCAGCUUGACUGCGAGCGUGACGGCGCGAGCAGGUGCGAAAGCAGGUCAUAGUGAUCCGGUGGUUCUGAAUGGAAGGGCCAUCGCUCAACGGAUAAAAGGUACUCCGGGGAUAACAGGCUGAUACCGCCCAAGAGUUCAUAUCGACGGCGGUGUUUGGCACCUCGAUGUCGGCUCAUCACAUCCUGGGGCUGAAGUAGGUCCCAAGGGUAUGGCUGUUCGCCAUUUAAAGUGGUACGCGAGCUGGGUUUAGAACGUCGUGAGACAGUUCGGUCCCUAUCUGCCGUGGGCGCUGGAGAACUGAGGGGGGCUGCUCCUAGUACGAGAGGACCGGAGUGGACGCAUCACUGGUGUUCGGGUUGUCAUGCCAAUGGCACUGCCCGGUAGCUAAAUGCGGAAGAGAUAAGUGCUGAAAGCAUCUAAGCACGAAACUUGCCCCGAGAUGAGUUCU